CGGAGGGUGCAAGCGUUGUCCGGAUUUAUUGGGUUUAAAGGGUGCGUAGGCGGCCCGGUAAGUCAGUGGUGAAAGCCUCCAGCUCAACUGGAGAACUGCCAUUGAUACUGUCGGGCUUGAGUACAGACGAGGUUGGCGGAAUUGAUUGUGUAGCGGUGAAAUGCAUAGAUACAAUCAAGAACUCCGAUUGCGUAGGCAGCUAACUAGGCUGUAACUGACGCUGAGGCACGAAAGCGUGGGGAGCGAACAGGAUUAGAUACCCUGGUAGUCCACGCUGUAAACGAUGAUUACUCGAUGUCGGCGAUAAACAGUCGGCGUCUUAGCGAAAGCGUUAAGUAAUCCACCUGGGGAGUACGCCCGCAAGGGUG
rnacentral:rRNA from 1 species